rnacentral:rRNA from 1 species
AUUGAACGCUGGCGGCAGGCCUAACACAUGCAAGUCGAGCGGAUGAAGGGAGCUUGCUCCUGGAUUCAGCGGCGGACGGGUGAGUAAUGCCUAGGAAUCUGCCUGGUAGUGGGGGAUAACGCCCGGAAACGGGCGCUAAUACCGUAUACGUCCUGAGGGAGAAAGUGGGGGAUCUUCGGACCUCACGCUAUCAGAUGAGCCUAGGUCGGAUUAGCUAGUUGGUGGGGUAAAGGCCUACCAAGGCGACGAUCCGUAACUGGUCUGAGAGGAUGAUCAGUCACACUGGAACUGAGACACGGUCCAGACUCCUACGGGAGGCAGCAGUGGGGAAUAUUGGACAAUGGGCGAAAGCCUGAUCCAGCCAUGCCGCGUGUGUGAAGAAGGUCUUCGGAUUGUAAAGCACUUUAAGUUGGGAGGAAGGGCAGUAAGUUAAUACCUUGCUGUUUUGACGUUACCAACAGAAUAAGCACCGGCUAACUUCGUG